CCAAAAUGGAGGAUAUGAUUACAAAACCGUCAGACUAAGGUUAUGUUUUAUUCCCAAAGGAAUCUUUGGCUUCAGUCUUCAGCUUGGAGCUUCGACUGGUGACUUAUCUCUUGGAGGUGGCUUUGGACUUGGACUUCAGCUUCCAUUUGGGACCUUGACUUCUUGGACUGCUCCUGGAUCUUCUGCUUUGUACUUCAUCUUGGGCAAGAAGUUGAAAUCUGAUGACAUGAUUCCUUAUAUAGGAACUUCCAUAUAUUCUCAACUUCAAAAUGAAACUUGGAUAUAUACUGUAGAUUCAAUGAUCUCUCCAUGGAGAAGUGUGAGAAGAGAAGCAGUUAAUUCUGGAUUUUAGUCUUUUGGUCAGGCAAGAAGCAUGGAAUACAUUCUAAAAGUGUAGAGUCAGAGGGUUAAGAAUAUUAUAUUACUUGUUGGUUAUGGGAGGGGUGUAGGAGGAGGGAAGGGAAAGAACAUGAAUCAUGUAACCAUGGAAAAAUAUUCUAAAAUAAAUAAAUAAAUAAACUUUUAAAAAAUUUAAA
rnacentral:lncRNA from 1 species